rnacentral:lncRNA from 1 species
GUGAGUAGAAUUCAGUUUGAAAGAGGUAGUUCUCAUUUUUAUAAGAAAAAUUUAAUAAAACAUAUAUUUUAGUUAUCAUUUAACAGAAAAAUAUUAAAGUUAUUCAGGCUAUGCCACAUACUCUCAUAAAGGGAAAUCAUUGCACCCUUCUAAUGAGGAAAUGGUCAUUUCAACACAUCUCAGUACAUUGUAUAAAUUUGGAGCUUACGGUAUAUUUUCAUUUAGCUGUAAGUGGUUGGUUAAUAUUAUGUGUUUUCACAUCAGCAUAAAUAUUGUCAUGGUGUUACAGAGGCAACUGUCAAGUGAGCAGAUAGCUUACAUUGGUGUUUUUAGAAGUCUUUGUAUUUUAUGCUUCAUUUGCAUAAUAUUAAGUGCUAAUAAAUGUAUGCCAAGUCAUCUAAGUGAAAGGGUAGUCCAUCACACCUAAGGCAUCUAAGGGCAGAUUACAUGUCACAUUGGUUCUGCUUACAAAUGACCAGCCAAAUGGCCAGUUUUCUUUAGUAAAAUCUAGUUGUUGAAAUGUAAGCCUUCCUGUGAAGGCUUCCUUUUGUUUACAUCAAAAGUAGCCAUCCCUAAGACUUGGAGAGGUCCCUUGUGGUUCACUAAAGGUUCACUGAAGCCAGAGGGAAAAGGAAAAAAUUACUACAACUUGUAUUAAUGCCUUUUAUUGUUACUGAUCACAUUAGAGCCACUGAGAUGUCCAAAAUCAUAUCAAAAUAAAGACAUAGGUUGCUUCUAUAUGAAGCUCAAACUUUAAUAUGAUAAACAAAUGAGAUAUUAAAAGAGUGAAAAUGUUUUGUAACUAUUCAUCAGUGAUCCUCGUGAAAUUUAGUGCUUUCCCUUGACCUGGUUGGUAGCCAGAUUUUUCUAAACUCUUUCCUGCUAUGAUUUUUGAAGGCAAAAUACACAAAGCAUAGUUCACUAAAAGAAUCCUCAAACCUUUUCAAUGAGGCAUUUACAUUUUGAUGCUGUUACUAUUUGAAAUAGAACAUCCACAGGGAGAUAAUGGGCUUAAAUUACAAUUGACUUUGGAAAGAAUAACAGAUUUUGUGCUUCCUCAAUCAUGUAAUCAAUAGGGAAUUCUCUAGUUAUGUGAACUACCACUAUGUUUUAAGACAGUGCUGAGAUCCAAAUGCAAAAUCUAUCAUUCAGGAGAUUUUUAAGAAUUCAAGGCUGUCUCUGAGGAACUUCGCUAGAGAUGGAUUACACCAAUUUACAAAUGCAGUUUUUAGCCGUGACAAAUCAAAGUGAUCUGAUCUCAGUUCAUUUUACUAAGCUGUGCCCAUAGGACUCUGAGAUAUUGAGCCAUUUUGUCUACAUUAUUUUUAACAUCUAUAGGUAUUUGUGGAUGUAUGAAUAAUGUCUGAAUUUCUCAUCUUUUGGCUAGUUUGGAUUUGUCAUGAACACAGCUUUUUAGUAAGACCAGCUUUCGUAGCAUCAUGAAGUAGAAAUCAAUGCUUCAGAGAUUCAGGGAGACCAACAUAAGGGAAAAUCUCCAAAACAUGGGGCUAGUCUUGCCCAUCUCAUCCCUCUCUAGAUUAUAAAAUCUCUGAGAAAGGACUGUGACUGCCUUGUGGACUGUUGUCUCCUAACAUCUGGAAAAAUGCCCAGCACAAUAGAGGCACUCAGUUAAUACUUAUUGAAUGAAUAAACAAUUACAUAAGUAAAUGAAAUUAA